UAUAUAUAUAUAUAUAUAUAUAUAUAUAUUAUAUAUAUAUAUAAUUUGACUUUCUUACUUGUUUAAGUUUUAGCUUUGGGUAAAAUGCCAAAAACUCAAACUAAUAAUCUCCUAUUUUCUAUAGACAAAGUUGUUAAUGGAAGAUAAUCAAAUCUCGUGCAAAUCCAUAUAUAUAUAUAAUAUAUAUAUAUACUGUUCAAUGGUUCAUUUUUGAAUUACAAGUCAACUCUUGUGCAAGAAACAUGUAUAGAUGGCAUGGAAUAAAGUAGUCAUUCUUACUCCUCUGACUUUUUAAUUCUGAAGCAAGAAUACAAUUCACAAUAUGAUCUAUCACUUUCGGUUCUGUUUGGAUUUUACAUUUGUAAAUGAAAGAAAAAUAGUUAUUUUCUUAUCAGCAAAGAAUUAAAUUUAUAACAACGAAUAAAUCUUCUGAUGAAUAUAUAUGUUAUUUUUCUUUUCUUUUCUUUUCAUUUUAUUUAUUUUUUCUCCACAAGUUCUAAGCAAGUUCUAUAUCCAAACAUGACCUUAAACAUACUCAAUUAAGUUCAUGAGGAAUAGUGAAACAUCAUUAUCAUAUGCCGGCCUAGAGGAUUCCCAUAUCAACUCUCUCGUGUUUGUUGAUUUGGUUUGACUUGUAUUGUUGAAUUAAAAACUUCCACUGCCCUUCCUCCACUCUCUUUAUUAUUAUGAUGAUUAUACUUAGGAAAGAUCUGUUGAAAAGUAUUUGCAUUUUAGUCAACUCUUCAUCACAUUUGUUGGGUUUAGUGAAAUUCUUAUGAAAUUUGCAAGAAUGGACAAUAAUCUUGAGCCAAAUCUUAUUUAAAGAUUCACAAAGCGGUUAUUAUGAUAAAUUAGCAUGGUAAAUAAUUAUUUUGACGGUGGUCGUGUAAUUAACUUAUAACUUAAUCAACUUAUAUAAAUUAGCACUGUAAUGUUCUUGUUUAGAUUAUUUCCCCUGAGGUGACAUUAUGCAAACUAAUUUGCACAAAACCAAUAACUUUAAUUUUAAUUUAUAAUUAUUAUAUGCUUGUUUGUUAUUAUUACGGGCCGAAGGUAUGUUCUAUUGUGACAUUAACCUAGGGGGGAAAAUGUAAAUGUAAUAACAUAGGAGCUGCUAAUGCAAAUAUUCAUACCCCCAACAUCAAUGAGGAAUCCUAAGUGUGAGUGUGUGUCUUAUUUUUCAAAUGAUAUCAAAUCACGUACAAGCUUUAAGGAAGAAUCGAAUGCUUGAUUAUAUCUCUUUUGUUGCUAUUAAAUGAAUUUACUUUUUUAUAGGGCCAUACAACAUAAAAGUCAAAUCAUAUGUUCCCACCUUUGACUUUUGCUAUUUUAUAUUAGAAAUUAUUGAGCAAUGGUUAAUGAUUAAAAAGUGUAUUGAAAAAUAUAAAAAUUAUUGUGGUAGAAAUUUAGAGGUGAGCAACUAAUUGUCGGAAUUACUCCUAAACUCGGUAUUGACAUAGGGUGACCUGCGCAAGAGAACAAAUAUUACCGGCCGGGGCGAGGCCGUUAUAAAUCUCUCCAGCGUAGAGAUGAGAUCAAGUCGAGCAAGUUAGGAAAAGUAUCAGAGCUCUCAAAUGAAAAUAUAAGUGAGUUAUACCUUUCUUAAUGAAAGUGAGCGGCCUUUUAUAGAUGGAGGAUGGAGAGCCGUGUGAGAAGAUCACAACCUGAUCCUUGGGCAGUUAAGUAUGGAAGGAGAUCCUGCAGAUAUCAAGAAAGGACUAGGAGAUUAUCAUAUGGAGAUAGUACUACAAAUGUAGGAGUGCGGGAGGAGGUGAAAUUUCAACGAUCUUAUAUUUAGCCAGGUUAGAUAGUUAACCUCGCCCAUAAGCAAGGUGACGUUAUAAGGCAAUCAACCCGUUUGGGGGAGUUUGGGCGAGUUCAAUACCGAUCAUGAGAGAUAUUGGCGACAUGAUCCUUUUGAGCGACGUGCGCAUCUCGGGCUAUUUCGCAGGUGGAGGAUUUUUCCUCAUCAAAAAUAUAUGAAAGUGUAUUAAAAAAUAAAUUAUUUUUAUCAUUUUGUACUCUUUAACUAUCUUCAAUUCGUCUGUUCUCAAUUCUAAACAAACUAUUUUUUUUUUGGUCAAUUGAAAUCCGAACAAAUUAAAAUCCAUAAAUCCCAACCCAAGGGCAAAUCUGCCAUUAUUUAUAAGAGUUUCCUUUUUCCAAAAUUUUAUAGAACAAUUUCAAUCAUUUUCCUUUAUUUAUUUUUUCAAUAAAUCCAUAAUCUUCUUUAAAUUAAGGUGGAUUCGUAGAAGGAAAAGCAUCCCAAAUGACCCACCGACCCAACGUGAAACGACCUGUUCCCAAGUAUAAAAACUAGGAAGUAUCCUAGGAACCGAGUGGCGAGGACGGGCCUUACGCGUUCUUCUACGGUUCUACCCGUAGGUUGACUCCGACGACUGGAAUCUCGAUUCAUUAUUAAUUAAUUAAGUCACUUUUGCAUAAAGCUGUAAAUGAACCAAGCAAGUUGUUUAUGAACAAUUUGAAUCUCCGCUAUUUA
rnacentral:lncRNA from 1 species